UCUGGUCACUUGGAUUUGGUCACAUUGUCCCUAAGCUUUUGUCCCCACAAGGUCUUUGAACAUUGGAGAAUUCCCUUUAACAAUGGAAGAUAAUUUUGAUGACAAAAUGUGUGUCAACACUCCCCUGGGUAUUAGAAGCCUCAUGAGAACUUGUCUUGUCCUCCAUGGAAACCAACAUGGAAGAACCA